ensembl:misc_RNA
UAUUCUUUGAGUUUGUUUUAUGUAGUAAAGUAAUUCAGCUGUGUUGCUUCCCUUCUCUACCAUUCAUCUUUGGAGUUUUUUUUUUUUUUUAACCCAAAAAUGAACCUGAAAGGGAAGGAGAACAUUAAUUGCAAU